GACGAACGCUGGCGGCGUGCUUAACACAUGCAAGUCGAACGGUGAAGCGCCUUCCUUUUUGGUGGGUGUGGAUGAGUGGCGAACGGGUGAGUAACACGUGAGUAACCUGCCCCCUUCUUCUGGAUAACCGCAUGAAAGUGUGGCUAGUACGGGAUAUUCUGGGUCUGUCGCAUGAUGGGUCUGGGAAAGAUAUUGUUUCGGUGGGGGAUGGGCUCGCGGCCUAUCAGCUUGUUGGUGGGGUGAUGGCCUACCAAGGCGGUGCCGGGUAGCCGGCCUGAGAGUGAGGACGGUCCCACUGGGACUGAGCCACGGCCCAGACUCCUACGGGAGGCAGCAGUGGGGAAUAUUGCACAAUGGGCGCAAGCCUGAUGCAGCGACGCCGCGUGAGGGAUGGAGGCCUUCGGGUUGUGAACCUCUUUCGCCAGUGAAGCAGGCCUGCCUCGUUUGUGGGUGGGUUGACGGUAGCUGGAUAAGAAGCGCCGGCUAACUACGUG
rnacentral:rRNA from 1 species